rnacentral:rRNA from 1 species
UACGAAGGGUGCAAACGUUGCUCGGAAUUCUUGGGCGUAAAGCGCUCGUAGGUGGAUCGAAAAGUCUGUGAGGAAAUGCCUGGGCUCAACUCAGGAACCCGUGCGGAUACUUUCGAUCUUGAGGCAAUCAGAGGAUGAUGGAAUUCCCGGUGUAGCGGUGAAAUGCGCAGAUAUCAGGAGGAACACCGGUGGCGAAGGCGGGUCUCUGGGCAGUAACUGACGCUGAGGAGCGAAAGCGUGGGGAGCGAACAGG